rnacentral:ncRNA from 12 species
GGCUUCAACACCCCCGCGGGCGGGACCUUUUCAAGGUAUGUGCGUUCGCUGGAGCC